UCUUCUCAGAAACUACAGUUCUGAAAUGUUCUGCUAUUUUUCUUUCCUAUAGGAUGCUCAGUUUCCAAAGACAAACUGAGAAAGGCAAAAAUAAGCUUGCUCUUAUAGACAACAGGUAUCUCUUGAGCCCAACACAUUUACUUGUUUACACUGUUGCAAAAGAGCAAUUCAGGAGCACAAGCUUAAUGGGAGGGAUGGAGGAGAAGAAAGGAAAUGCAUAUGUUACUUGAUCCCAUGACCCCCCAGCUACCUUCAGUUGCAUGGAAUGAACAGUGUCUGUCCGGAAAUCCUCAGGCUAAAGCUUUGUGUGGGAUCUAAGAUGAUGUGCUAUUUCAUAUAAGCUAAUAUUAUCUUCCUUUAUCAAGGAAGCUGGAUUUGACUGCAUAAUAAUGUAAGAGGCUGGUAAACACUGUGUAAAACGAGAUGCAAACCUUGGAAAUCCAUUCUGUGCUUUGACAUAAAGGAAUAGCUCAUGAAAAUGACAUUUUUUAGCUUUUGGAAAGAAGCUGUCAGUAGUUCUUAAGAGCUUCUGUUCAGUGCUCCUGUCUUAAUGCUGGUAGCAUGACAGGGUUUGUUAGGAUCAUGCUGAAAACCCCAUGAAUCCUGGCUGUUGCUCUCUUCACUCACACAUCAGCAUGUGAGUCCCCAGGUGACAGGAGCCUUCCUAGACCAUUGCAUAGCGGUGGGAAGCCUGCCAGUUGUUUUAUUAUUUUCUUUUUCUUUUUCCCAAGCAACAAACAAGCCCAAGUGAGCACAGAUAAACUGAAAUCCUUCUUCCUGUUUUAUAUUGUGUGCAUAUUCACAAGCACUUCUUGCCAGAAACUCCCAGUUGGGAUUGUAAUAUACUCUAUAUGGAGCUGGAUGUCUGUUGUGAAUAAUGCGGAGGUCAUGGGCUUUGUGCUGGAAGGCAACAAAAGUGAUUUACAAAGCCCUUUUUGGGGGCCUUACCUGGAAGGUUGCAGAGACAGGUUGUACUGGUGAGUCAGGACAUUAAGGCACGAAUAUGUCCAUGUACUAACCAGCCUACCUGGCCUCGCGGAGCAGUGUGUACUUUGCCUGUAACUGAAUGCCUCUUUCUCCACUUGCCCAGCUUAUAAAUAUAAAUUAGAACAGUCCCUUUCUUCUGGAGCCAGAAGGCGCAAGGCAUUGACUCAUGCUUGCAAUGUAGUAGCUCGACUGUGGUAAUAAAAGCUGAAAUGCCAAUGCCUAGUAAGAUACAGAUACUUGAAGGUGUCUUUUGGGAGUCUGAAGUGUUCAUUUGGUGAAAGCUUUUAUUAAGGAAGUGCUUGAGUAUUAUAUUUCAUUCUCUCUUAUUCCAGCUAGUCCCACACAAUUUUUUCUCUAGCAAAUUCUACUGAGUAUUCAUACAGCUUGAAGGAGUGGACCAGACUGCCUUGCUUUGACUUGUGCUGUGUGAAGCCUGCCCAAGCCUUCCCAGCAGAGCAAAGUUCACAGUCAGAGGUUCUCUUCCAGCCUUAACUUUUUAUUUUAUUUUAUUCUAUUUUAUUUUAUUUUAUUUUAUUUUAUUUUAUUUUAUUUUAUUUUAUUUUAUUUUAUUUAUUUUUUUCUUCUGUACACCAUAUAAUACAACUGUAUAAUGCACUAGGGGCUUUCUGCCCUGCUUGCAGAGCUCUUAGCCGCGUUACAUUGCUUGGACCUUUUCAGAGUCUUCUGCCAGGCUGCUUUCUUCAGGAGAAGUCUCCUGGAAAGGAAGAAGCAAGGAUGUUGGAGCAGAAAAGCUGGUGGAACAGUUCUGCGAGAGAAUGGCAGGGAGCAGGAAGGAAGGCUGAUGUGCAGGAUCAGAGGAAAACUGAGGCUGUGAACAGACAAAUGAAGAGUUGCAUUGUUUGCAUUGCCUGUUGCAAAGAUACGGAAAUAAGUGACGUCAGAUGACAAAAUAAUCUGCCUGCAAGACUUCUGCCGUGAUUCCUGGAUUCAAAGCACGGGUGCUUUUGACCUUCUGGAAGCCACAGAGGGUGAGUAGUUCUUCACAUCAGGCUCAGCUGCUUCCCAUGUCAGAGUUUCAGGCAAUGAGGAACACCAGGAACCUUUAGGAAACCUUUUUCUAGUCUUCCACAGCAUUUAUGUAAACAGAAGAAAAAAAGAAAAUAAUCCAGUUCCCACAGUACCAUUCAGUACCCUUAACUGUAGGACUGUAUUUCACACUCCAGAGUCUCCUAACAUAUUCAACUAUUUCAGCAACAACUAGACCCCUUCACUACUCCCUGAUGAAAGAAAUUCCAGCCAGUGGUUGAAAUAAAACAGAUUUCUUAGGCAAAAUUAACUCUCCCCUUAGAUGCGUUUUUGUGUGUUUGACUUCACAACUCAACAUUGUAUUUUUAACACAGUCUUUUGUGUAUAAUGUAAUAGGCCUUAAAAAAAUUAUUUGAAAGCACAGUUUCCCUUACAAUGUCUCAGAUCAUCAAGAGUAUGGUUCAUCAGUAGGGCUGAAGGUCUUGGAUUUGCUCCUUAAACCCCUUCAGCUGGGAAGAAUAAUUAGUGACACAUGUAGGUUAACUUUGGGUGGACCAGACCUAGAGAAGCGUGGGUUUACGGGGCAGAAAAGUUUCUGUUUGAGGAGCUCUGUGUGGGGGUGAUGGAGGGGGAUGCACAGCUGAAAGGUCUGUUGAGACGGCAUAGAUUGCCAGUGUGGCGCUGGGUUGUGGUAGGGACACAGGGAGGUGCAAGUUGGGAUCCCAGCGGAAAGUCUUGCAGUGACAAAAAUGUCUAGGAGGUGAAAACUGGCAGUCAGAGUGCAGCUUUAGGAGGAGUUAAAGGCAUGAAAGGAAAUUGGUUGGGACUGUGGAAAGAGGUUAAGGUUGAGGAAAAGCUUGUGUGUGAAAGGAGAGAAUACUCCCCUCAGUCUUCCUCAUUUGCCAGAAAUGUCACGGUGGUUACCAGCCCUGCAUGACUCAUCAGUAACUUGGACACAAGAGGCAGGAUCACCAUCAGUUGGGCUGGACCUUUAUUCCGACUGAACUUGCCUCUAUUAAUUAAAUUAAUGUAACUGCCUGGAUGAGAAGCUGGCAAUAAAACAUUGCUCCUUUUGCACAAAGUGGCCCAGAACCUGACUUGACACAGACGUGUUCUUACAGUCUUCCCUGGCUAUAAGCAGUACUGUAGUAGAUUUUUCCCCCUAAUUACUUGUCUUCCUUCUGGUGCAUCUCUAGUUUUACUGCCUGAUACCAGGAACGAUCACAAAUGUCUAGUACUAAAUAAACAACUAGAUGCUUCAGCAAAGCAUUUGUGCCUACACAUGGCUUGGUUGCUUAAAAUGGCCAAUCUGUACCUUCGAGUGAUGGAAAGAACCUAUUCAAGAAAUGAACAAGGAGCUCUCAUAAAGCCUCGAGCAAGUGGUCUCCUUAUGAUGAUGUUAAGAAAAAAAAGUAAUUUGGACAGGUGACUUCUGUAGGGAUCCUUCAUAAGGAAAGACUAAAUCUCCUUAGAGCAGGAGGGAAAACACUUUUCUGGAGGACAGUUAGUUAUGUCUCUUAUUAGGGAGUGUACAGAAAACACAUACAGAUCAGCGUCUCUGGAACAGUUUUGAUUUAUGCUCUGGCUUUCACAGGGUUGGAGGAGGAAGGCUGUGAGGCAAC